UGACCUCGGAUCAGUCGUGAUUACCCGCUGAACUUAAGCAUAUCACUAAGCGGAGGAAAAGAAACUAACCAGGAUUCCCCUAGUAACGGCGAGUGAAGAGGGAAUAGCCCAGCACCGAAGCCUGCGGUAGGUUUACUGCUAGGCAAUGUGGUGUUUGGGUCGGCUCGCGGUAUUGCCACUCCACUCGAAGUCCAGCACUGAGUAUGGUUCCCUGGAUUUGGCCCAGAGAGGGUGAAAGGCCCGUGCGAGUGGAGGCUCAGACAUGUGAGGCAAUUCACCAGGUCGAGCUUCGAGUCAUGUUGUUUGGGAAUGCAGCCCAAAGUGGGUGGUAAACUCCAUCCGAUAGCGAACAAGUACCGCGAGGGAAAGUUGAAAAGUACUUUGAAGAGAGAGUAAACAGUACGUGAAUCCGCAUAGAAGUAAACGGGUGUCGUCAAGCUGCAAAAGAAUAGGCAGCUGACAAUUGAAAGGAAAAAUCAAAGAACCGUUUUCUCAGGUUAAGCAUUUGCGAUUGUUUCUACAUCAUUAUAACAACGCUAUCACUGCCGAAAAGUGACAAGCAUUAUGUAGUAUCGAAAUCCAACGUGAAUUUGGACGAAAUUGAGUGGAAAUUUCCUUAUGAAGUAUAUUGGUACAAACUUUCCAAACACAGUAUCCUAAUCCGUUUAUCUUUCCAGAGGAUAAGCACUGGGAAUUUUGACAAACAUGUCUGCUUUUAGUGCACAACAGGUGAUGAAACAUUUUUACAAGCAAGACAACAUGUUGCAUGGAUAUGGGGCGUUGAUUUCCUGGCUUAU
rnacentral:ncRNA from 1 species